GCCCUGGUGGCACAGGGUUAAAGCGCUUGGCUGCUAACCAAAAGGACAGUGGUUCAAAACCACCAGUGGCU
rnacentral:tRNA from 1 species